AGGAGCCAGCGGGCGGAGUGCGGCGCCGCCCUGCGCUUGAGCUGGAGGAGCCGGGUGCGCAGACCAGGGGAGCCUCCGGAGCAGAUGUCUUCUGUGAGAGAUUGUGGGUAAUCACGUGCCACAAGAAGAGAUUCUGAGGCCCCCAAAGAGUGACUAGAAAGCCUAUGGAAGGAUGAGCUUCAGUUUUGCAAGGAAAAGGCAAGAAGCAAGCUUAGGCUAAAUCAACAAUGGAAAACAUGGAGUGUUCGGCUUCUGUGGGAUGGUGAGAAUCAUACGGUCCAUAAAACAAGCCUCCACAAAACCAGCAUGCGGCUCUUUCCCCUGGGACGUCAUUCAUGGCCUAGCAUGGCCCAAUGCCCAAGUCCUUCCCGCCACCUGCUUCUAUGUGCGCCACACCCACUCCAGUGAAGUCUGCGAGGCAAGUCCAAAAGCUUGGCUGCAGUCCUGAGGCAAAAAGUUUCACGGAAACUGGUCUCCUGGAGAGUCUCUGGUGUCCCAUGACCAGAUUUGUCCCUGCUGUAGUGUGGAGCGUUUUGUAUGCUUUAUUGCGGUAUUUUACUGGAUAAGAGCUAGAAAACUCAGGGCUAGUUCAAAAUAGUAAACUUAGAAU